UACCUGGUUGAUCCUGCCAGUAGUCAUAUGCUUGUCUCAAAGAUUAAGCCAUGCAUGUCUAAGUAUAAGCACUUGUACUGUGAAACUGCGAAUGGCUCAUUAAAUCAGUUAUCGUUUAUUUGAUUGUACUUUACUACAUGGAUACCUGUGGUAAUUCUAGAGCUAAUACAUGCGAAAAAUCCCGACUUCUGGAAGGGAUGUAUUUAUUAGAUUAAAAACCAAUGCGGAUCUUCGGGUCCGUUUUCUUGGUGAUUCAUGAUAACUUUUCGAAUCGCAUGGCCUAGCGCCGGCGAUAUUUCAUUCAAAUUUCUGCCCUAUCAACUGUCGAUGGUAAGGUAGUGGCUUACCAUGGUUAUAACGGGUGACGGAGAAUUAGGGUUCGAUUCCGGAGAGGGAGCCUGAGAAACGGCUACCACAUCUAAGGAAGGCAGCGGCUCGAAAAUUACCCAAUCCCAACUCGGGGAGGUAGUGACAAGAAAUAACGAUACGGGGUCUUAAUAGGUCUCGCAAUUGGAAUGAGUACAAUUUAAAUCCUUUAACGAGGAUCAAUUGGAGGGCAAGUCUGGUGCCAGCAGCCGCGGUAAUUCCAGCUCCAAUAGC
rnacentral:rRNA from 1 species